CGUGUAGGCGGCUGAAUAAGUCAGAUGUGAAAUCCCUGGGCUUAACCCAGGACGUGCAUUUGAAACUAUUCAGCUUGAGUAAGGGAGAGGAAAGUGGAAUUCCUGGUGUAGAGGUGAAAUUCGUAGAUAUCAGGAGGAACACCGGUGGCGAAGGCGACUUUCUGGCCCUAUACUGACGCUGAGACGCGAGAGCGUGGGUAGCAAACA
rnacentral:rRNA from 1 species